UACGAAGGGGGCUAGCGUUGCUCGGAAUCACUGGGCGUAAAGCGCACGUAGGCGGAUUGUUAAGUCAGGGGUGAAAUCCUGGAGCUCAACUCCGAAACUGCAUUCGAUACUGCCGUGCUUGAGGACUGGAGAGGAGACUGGAAUUUACGGUGUAGCGGUGAAAUGCGUAGAUAUCGUAAGGAAGACCAGUGGCGAAGGCGGGUCUCUGGACAGUUCCUGACGCUGAGGCACGAAGGCCAGGGGAGCAAACGGG
rnacentral:rRNA from 1 species